rnacentral:rRNA from 1 species
ACGAACGCUGGCGGCGUGCUUAACACAUGCAAGUCGAACGGUGAAGCGCCUUCCUUUUUGGUGGGUGUGGAUGAGUGGCGAACGGGUGAGUAACACGUGAGUAACCUGCCCCCUUCUUCUGGAUAACCGCAUGAAAGUGUGGCUAAUACGGGAUAUUCUGGGUCUGUCGCAUGAUGGGUCUGGGAAAGAUAUUGUUUCGGUGGGGGAUGGGCUCGCGGCCUAUCAGCUUGUUGGUGGGGUGAUGGCCUACCAAGGCGGUGACGGGUAGCCGGCCUGAGAGGGUGGACGGUCACACUGGGACUGAGACACGGCCCAGACUCCUACGGGAGGCAGCAGUGGGGAAUAUUGCACAAUGGGCGCAAGCCUGAUGCAGCGACGCCGCGUGAGGGAUGGAGGCCUUCGGGUUGUGAACCUCUUUCGCCAGUGAAGCAGGCCUGCCCCGUUUGUGGGUGGGUUGACGGUAGCUGGAUAAGAAGCGCCGGCUAACUACGUG